CUAUCUUUUACUGUAGAGAAGAAUAUGUGGUUAUUUUAUGUGUGAACCCUGACCAAGCUUGCGCAGGUAUAUUUACACAAGGAGCAGCAUGCAUUAUUUGCCCUUAUAUGGAUAUCCUGAUUGGCCUGCCAAUAUAUUUCCUAAUUGGAUAGGAAUUCGAUUAUAAAGAUAUAUGUGUACACAGGGAGCCGCAUGCACUAUUGGUCUUCAUAUGGAUAGCUUAUUGGCCGGCCAAUACGUUUCCUAAUUGGAUGGGAUCAAGGUUAUAGAAGUUAACACCCAAACAUAGCCGGCCAAUACAUUUUCAAAUUGAGUUGUAUUAAUUAGGAUGACUGAUUGGUCGAUCAAUCAUUUUCUAAAUGUAUUGGAGUACUGUAUGGAAGGUUAAAUAAUACUAAUAUAAUCUACUAAGAAUGGAAAAGUUCCUUUCCUUCUAAAA